AUUGAACGCUGGCGGCAGGCCUAACACAUGCAAGUCGAGCGGUAGAGAGAAGCUUGCUUCUCUUGAGAGCGGCGGACGGGUGAGUAAUGCCUAGGAAUCUGCCUGGUAGUGGGGGAUAACGUUCGGAAACGGACGCUAAUACCGCAUACGUCCUACGGGAGAAAGCAGGGGACCUUCGGGCCUUGCGCUAUCAGAUGAGCCUAGGUCGGAUUAGCUAGUUGGUGGGGUAAUGGCUCACCAAGGCGACGAUCCGUAACUGGUCUGAGAGGAUGAUCAGUCGCACUGGAACUGAGACACGGUCCAGACUCCUACGGGAGGCAGCAGUGGGGAAUAUUGGACAAUGGGCGAAAGCCUGAUCCAGCCAUGCCGCGUGUGUGAAGAAGGUCUUCGGAUUGUAAAGCACUUUAAGUUGGGAGGAAGGGCAGUAAAUUAAUACUCUGCUGUUUUGACGUUACCGACAGAAUAAGCACCGGCUAACUCUGUG
rnacentral:rRNA from 1 species